rnacentral:lncRNA from 1 species
GGCUUGGAAAAGACUACUUUGAAGAUUUAAAUAAAACUGUGUUGAAAUAUAUAUGGCAAGGUAAGAAAGCGAGAAUAAAGUUAAAACUUUUGCAAGAUGCUAGAAUUAGAGGAGGAUUUCGUUUGCCUAAUUGGGAGUUGUACUACCAAGCUACAAAUCUGAUGUGGGUUAAGGAAUGGAUAACACUAAGAAAUACUAGAGUGUUGACAUUAGAAGGACAUGAUUUGUUGUUGGGGUGGCAUGCUUUUCUAUGGUAUAAAGGAACUAAAACACAGGGAUAUUUUAGAAGACAUUAUAUACGGGAGUCUCUGUGGUUAAACUGGGAGAAGAUUAAAAGACAAUGUUAUUUGAAAAUUCCAGUCUGGUUAUCGACUAUUGAAGCAUUUUCGUAUCCUAUAAUAUACAAAAAGGAACAAACAGUUAGAUAUGGUGAAAUAUUGAAUGAAAAGGGUGAACUUAAAUCUAUGCAAAAACUAGAGGAACAAGGUAUAAAGAUGAAUUGGUUUUCAUAUGCGCAAAUACACUCAAGGUAUGAUAAAGAUUCUAAAACAGAAGGUUUAUAUGAUAAACUGACUGACUUAGAUAAGAUUUUGACAGGUACUGAUGAAAAGGUGAUUAAAAAAUUGUAUGGCUAUUUAUUAGAAAUUAAACUAGAAGAACAAGUUAAAGAAACUAUGAUUGCUUGGGGGAAGAAUUUUGGAUAUGGGAUUGAUUUAGAGAAAUGGCAAAAACUGUGGUCUCAAAAUUAUAAAAUGACAAUGUCAACAGCAUAUAAAAAUUUGUAUAAGAUGUUUUACAGGUGGCAUUUCCCCCUGACAAGAAUAGCAAGAAUGUUCAAGAAUAAAUCCGAAAAAUGUUGGAAAUGUCAUCAGACACCUGGCUCAUUUUACCAUACGUGGUGGACUUGUGCGGAUGCUAAAAAAUACUGGACUAAAAUCCACACGUUGGAAAAAAUGACAAAAAAGCAUAUAGAUUUGAAACCAGAGAUAUUUUUAUUGGGAAUUUUACCUGAAAUAUAUAGUAAAG